rnacentral:rRNA from 1 species
AUUGAACGCUGGCGGCAGGCCUAACACAUGCAAGUCGAGCGGAUGAAGGGAGCUUGCUCCUGGAUUCAGCGGCGGACGGGUGAGUAAUGCCUAGGAAUCUGCCUGGUAGUGGGGGAUAACGUCCGGAAACGGGCGCUAAUACCGCAUACGUCCUGAGGGAGAAAGUGGGGGAUCUUCGGACCUCACGCUAUCAGAUGAGCCUAGGUCGGAUUAGCUAGUUGGUGGGGUAAAGGCCUACCAAGGCGACGAUCCGUAACUGGUCUGAGAGGAUGAUCAGUCACACUGGAACUGAGGCACGGUCCAGACUCCUACGGGAGGCAGCAGUGGGGAAUAUUGGACAAUGGGCGAAAGCCUGAUCCAGCCAUGCCGCGUGUGUGAAGAAGGUCUUCGGAUUGUAAAGCACUUUAAGUUGGGAGGAAGGGCAGUAAGUUAAUACCUUGCUGUUUUGACGGUACCAACAGAAUAAGCACCGGCUAACUUCGUG